GGGCCCGUAGCUCAGCUGGUCAGAGCAGCGGACUCAUAAUCCGUCGGUCCCUGGUUCGAAUCCAGGCGGGCCCA
rnacentral:tRNA from 2 species